GAUGAAGAACGCAGCGAAAUGCGAUACUUGGUGUGAAUUGCAGAAUCCCGUGAACCAUCGAGUCUUUGAACGCAAGUUGCGCCCGAAGCCGUCAGGCCGAGGGCACGCCUGCCUGGGCGUCACACGCCGUUGCCCCCCCGCGCCCCGCACCCAACUCUUUGGGAGCGACCGCGGGGCGGGCUGAUGAUGGCCUCCCGUGCGCUCCGCCGCGCGGUUGGCCCAAAUACCGAGUCCCCGGCGACGUGCGCCACGACGAUCGGUGGUUGAGAGACCUCUGUCGCAAGUCGUGCGCGCCCGUCGCGUCACGCGGGCUCGCAUAACGCCUCGCGCCGCACCCGGUGCGGAGCUUUCAACGCGACCCCAGGUCAGGCGGGGUUACCCGCUGAACUUAAGCAUAUCAAUAAGCGGAGGA
rnacentral:misc_RNA from 1 species